rnacentral:lncRNA from 1 species
CACGGCCCGGUGCACCUGGGGUGGCUUCACAGGUGGUAACGUGCGAGUUUGGCGUUCAGGAUUGAGGGAGGGAGCUGCCGUGUCAGGCAGACUCGCAGAGCCGUGAGUGCGCGUGUGAGGACGGGGCCGUCUCACGCUGCUCACAGGUGAGCCGUGUGGACCCGCAGCUCUCACAGCUCCUGUGUGCGGCACUGGUACGCGGUAGAUCUGGGCAAGACCCCGGGGCCAUGAACGGAUGGUCCGAUUCCUGCCACGUUCUGGAAUGUGGUCGAGGAACACGCUGAGUCAGGCCUGAGGAAGCUACUGGGGUCCAAAGAUGGAGGAGCCUCCCACCCUGUUUCUGGGCAGGUGCGUCCAGUCUAGCCAGUCAGCCUCGAGCGUGAACUCCAGACCCCACAUCUGACUCCUGUUUGGCUAAUCUGGCUUUGAGGGGAGAAAGGAGGCUGAGGUUAUUUGUGUUCCUGGCCAC